AACGUAGGACGCAAGCGUUAUCCGGAGUUACUGGGCGUAAAGGGCGUGUAGGCGGUCUCUUAAGUGAGGCGUGAAAGCCCUCGGCUAAACCGGGGAAGGUCGUCUGAGACUGAGAGACUAGAGGAUGGUAGAGGCGUGUAGAAUUCCGGGUGUAGUGGUGAAAUGCGUAGAUAUCCGGAGGAAUACCAGUGGCGAAGGCGGCACGCUGGGUCACACCUGACGCUGAGACGCGAAAGCAUGGGUAGCGAACGGG
rnacentral:rRNA from 1 species